GCGGAGGUGGCGGAAUAGGCAGACGCGAUAGUUUGAGGGGCUAUUGCUCCAUAAGAGUAUGAGGGUUCGAGUCCCUUCUUCCGCA
rnacentral:tRNA from 1 species